CCGAAACAAAGAAGGUUCUGUUAUGAGAGGAAGGCACCACACCACUUAAGCUUCAAGAUGGGUCACUCAACCAAGACUGCUCUUCUCUGUGUCAUGGAGGCUCUCCACACUAUCCAUUGCCUUCAACACAGUGAACCAAUCAGAUCCUCCUCUCCACCCGCUAAGGGCUGGUACCUCAGGCUCUGCACACGCUUGGAUUGCAUCCUACCUGGCAGGCCGCUCCUACCAGGUGGUGACAUGCAUCUCUGCGUGCCUGGCAGAUAUCUCAUCUUGGAUGUCAGCCCACCACCUCAAGCUCAACCAUGACAAGACAGAGCUGCUCUUCCUCCCGGGGAUGGCCUCUCAGUUGACAACGCCAUGGUGGGCCCCUCCCAGAGUGCAAAGAACCUUGGAGUGACCCUGGACAACCAAAAACCCUGUUGUUCUUGGCAAACAUCAAAGCAGUGACUUGCUCCUACAGGUUCAUGCUAUACAACAUCCCUAGAGUAUGACUACCUCACACAGGACGCAACAUAGGUCCUAAUCCAGGCAUUUGUCAUCGCCCGUCUGGACUACUGCAACUCUAUUUAAAAUGACUCUUGCAUUGUAAAUAUGGUAGUGGAACUGACCCUGUAUAUAAUAUGCCUACUUACUUUAGUGUUCGUGUUCUUAUUUAUUUUCUCAUGUGUUUUUGUUCUACCUUGUUGUUUUUAGUAUUACAUUUUUAU